UACGUAGGGUGCGAGCGUUAAUCGGAAUUACUGGGCGUAAAGCGUGCGUAGACGGUUAUUUAAGUCGGAUGUGAAAGCCCCGGGCUCAACCUGGGAAUUGCAUUCGAGACUGAAUAGCUAGGGUGCGGUAGAGGGAAGCGGAAUUUCCGGUGUAGCGGUGAAAUGCGUAGAUAUCGGAAGGAGCAUCAGUGGCGAAAGCGGCUUCCUGGACCAGCACCGACGUUCAGGCACGAAAGCGUGGGGAGCAAACAGG
rnacentral:rRNA from 1 species